CCUACGGGUGGCAGCAGUGGGGGAUAUUGCACAAUGGGGGGAACCCUGAUGCAGCGACGCCGCGUGGGUGAAGAAGCGCCUCGGCGCGUAAAGCCCUGUCAGCAGGGAAGAAAAUGACGGUACCUGAAGAAGAAGCCACGGCUAACUACGUGCCAGCAGCCGCGGGAAUACGUAGGGGGCAAGCGUUCGCAGGAUUUACUGGGUGUAAAGGGGGCGGAGACGGCGAGGCAAGACAGGAGUGAAAGCCCGGGGCCCAACCCCGGGACUGCUCUUGGAACUGGGUGGAUGGAGUGCAGGAGGGGCAGGUGGAAUUCCGGGUGUAGCGGUGAAAUGCGUAGAUAUCAGGAGGAACACCGGUGGCGAAGGCGGCCUGCUGGACUGUAACUGACGUUGAGGCGCGAAAGCGUGGGGAGCAAACAGGAUUAGAUACCCCAGUAGUC
rnacentral:rRNA from 1 species